GGAACCGCGGGCACGGCGGGGCAGGGAGCGCGCCCGGGGCUGGGAGACUCAGGGGCGGGGCAGCCCCGGGACAGCGCCGGGACAGCGCUGGGAUUGGACUGGGAUAGCCCGGGACAGCGCCGGGACAGCGCCGGGACAGCGCUGGGAUUGGACUGAGGAGGGCCAGAAGGAAUGAAAUCCAUCGUGGCUCAGCCUGGGCUGGUGAAAGCGAGCUGGGAAAGGCAGGAGCAGGUUUUACUGGGACUCCUUUCAAGGGCUGCCCGGAGCCCCCCGCGGUAAAUAGUGCACAGCUCGGGCCAGGAGGAUUUCCUCACCGCUGGGACUCUUAAUGUCGAAAGCAGAGGUGUCAAACAAGGGGCUCAAAGCCCCGUGGUGGCCCCGGAGAGUUCCACAUCUGGCCUGGAUCUCGGUGCUUAACACGUUUUAACUCUUGCCCCGAGCAGCUCCGGAUUUCCCUCGGCAGCCCGGGUUAGGUUUGAUUUAAGAGGCUGCAAGGAAAAGCCAAAAUAAAAA
rnacentral:lncRNA from 1 species